UACCUUAUUGAUUCUGUUGGCGCUUAAUGUUCAGCUAAAAGACUGAGCUAUGCAUAUUGAGUUCAACUUUGGAAUCAAACUGCGAAGGAGUCAUAAUAGCUGAUGAAAAUUCUUAGGAAUUGUUUGAUGGAUUACUGCGGUAAUUUUGGAGUUAAUACAUGCAACAAAAGUUUUGUUUUGUUCUUCGAAUUCGCAGAAUUGGAAUACCGCAGCAUAUUCCAAGUGACUACCCUAUUAACCUCAUGGUAGUCCAUUAGUCUAGUAUAGAUAUUACGGCUAACAGAGAAUAAGUGUUCGACGGCAAGGAAGCCUUAGAAACGCUAUCACAUCGAAAGAAGACAGCAGUCGCCAAACUUAUCCAAUCUUGGGGAGGUGAGAUAGUGACUAGAAAUAAGAGUGGAAGCACGUCUACUGCCAGUAGCCUCGGUGAUUCCAACUCUACUAGUCUAAAUCGUUACUACUGCGGUUAAAAAGUUCGUGGUUGGGUCGGAGUCACAUGUACUUGUUCGCCUUUGGCGUUAAUCGUAUGUGUAUGCUGGUUUUCUAUCAGAGUCCCGACUUCUCUAGUGACUGGUGAGUUUACCUUGAAUAAAUUAGAGUGCUCAAAACAAGCAUUUGCUUGAAUCGUUGGAAUGGAAUAAUAGAAAAGUACUUCGCUUCAAUUUACGAGUUCAGAAACUGGAAUAAUUGUUCAGAGCGACAUUUCGGGGGCAUUCAUAUCCUUGCACAAGUGAUGAAAUUCGUAAACGUAAACUACGUCAUUUAGCAAUGGGGUAUAGUUGCGUUGUCGAGCAGCUUCUAAGACACGAAAGUCUUUCGGUUCUUGGGAUAGUAUGAUUGCAAAGCUGAAACUUAGGGAAAUUACCGAAAUGACAAUGCAAGGAGUGGAGCCUGCAGCUGAAUUUGACUCAACACAGUCAUACUCAUCUGACCAGAACGCGGAAAGGAUUGACAGAUUAAAGUUGGGCAAAUAAACCUGCAUUUGGACACUAAAAUUGGGCAACUCGACCGACUUUACGUUUUAAUACUAUAGUGUUGCUCGUACUAGACGGUUUUAGUUAUCAAUCCAAUGUGUAAUCUUAAGAAUUGUCCACCUUCUGUUCUGAACAUUGCGCGAGUAAGCCAGACUUAGGCCAUUAAAAUUGAUCAAUCAGACCGUUUUAAUGGUUUUUACACUAUAGUGUUCAUCAUACUAGACGAUUUCAAUUAUCAGCUCAAUGUGUAAGCUUGAGGAUUUUCCGUCUUUUCCCUCAAUUUGGACAACUAAACCUAUCCUACGUCUUUGAAAUUGGGCAAAUAAACCUGCAUUUGGACACUAAAAUUGGGCAACUCGACCGACUUUACGCUUUAAUACUAUAGUGUUGCUCGUACUAG
rnacentral:ncRNA from 1 species